rnacentral:rRNA from 1 species
CGAAGGACCCGAGCGUUAUCCGGAUUUAUUGGGUUUAAAGGGUGCGUAGGCGGAUUAGUAAGUCAGUGGUGAAAGCCCAUCGCUUAACGGUGGAAUUGCCAUUGAUACUGCUAGUCUUGAGUAUGGUUGAGGUGGGCGGAAUGUGUCAUGUAGCGGUGAAAUGCUUAGAUAUGACCCAGAACACCAAUUGCGAAGGCAGCUCGCUAAGCCAUAACUGACGCUGAUGCACGAAAGCGUGGGGGAGCAAACAGGAUUAGAUACCCUGGUAGUCCACGCCCUAAACUAUGAUCACUCGUUGUUGGCGAUACACAGUCAGCGACUAAGGGAAACCAUUAAGUGAUCCACCUGGGAAGUACGACCGCAAGGUUG